UACAGAGGGGGCAAGCGUUGUUCGGAAUUACUGGGCGUAAAGGGCUCGUAGGCGGCCAACUAAGUCAGACGUGAAAUCCCUCGGCUUAACCGGGGAACUGCGUCUGAUACUGGAUGGCUUGAGUUUGGGAGAGGGAUGCGGAAUUCCAGGUGUAGCGGUGAAAUGCGUAGAUAUCUGGAGGAACACCGGUGGCGAAGGCGACAUCCUGGACCGGUAUUGACGCUGAGGCGCGAAAGCCAGGGGAGCAAACGGG
rnacentral:rRNA from 1 species